rnacentral:rRNA from 1 species
UUUCCCGGUUGAUCCUGCCCGGAGGUCACUGCUAUUGGGAUUCGACUAAGCCAUGCGAGUCGGGAGGGUUCGGCCCUCGGCAGACGGCUCAGUAACACGUGGAUAAUCUGCCUUUAGGUGGAAGAUAACCUCGGGAAACUGAGAAUAAUAUUCCAUAGAUCUAGGAUGCUGGAAUGCACUUAGAUUUAAAGCUUCGGCGCCUAAGGAUGAGUCUGCGGACUAUCAGGUAGUAGUCAGGGUAAAGGCCUGACUAGCCUACGACGGAUAUGGGUUGUGAGAGCAAUAACCCAGAGACGAUAUCUGAGACACGAUAUCGGGCCCUACGGGGCGCAGCAGGCGCGAAAACUUCACAAUGUGCGAAAGCACGAUGAGGGAAUCCCAAGUGCUUGCUCGUAAGAGUAAGCUGUUUUUAUGUCUAAAAUGCAUAGAGAGUAAGGGCUGGGUAAGACGGGUGCCAGCCGCCGCGGUAAUACCUGCAGCUCAAGUGGUGACCGGUAUUAUUGGGCCUAAAACGUUCGUAGCCGGUUUAUUAAAUGCCUGGGUAAAUCGUGUAGCUUAACUAUACGAAUUCCGGGUAGACUGAUAGACUUGAGACCGGGAGAAGCUAGAGGUACUCCUGGGGUAGAGGUGAAAUUCUGUAAUCCUGGGGGGACCACCAGUGGCGAAGGCGUCUAGCUAGAACGGGUCUGACGGUGAGGAACGAAGCCCUGGGGCGCAAACCGGAUUAGAUACCCGGGUAGUCCAGGGUGUAAACGCUGCUUGCUUGAUGUUAGUUGGGCUCCGAGCCCAAUUAGUGUCGGAGAGAAGUUGUUAAGCAAGCUGCCUGGGAAGUACGGUCGCAAGACUGAAACUUAAAGGAAUUGGCGGGGGAGCACAGCAACGGGUGGAGCGUGCGGUUUAAUUGGAUUCAACGCCGGA